rnacentral:tRNA from 1 species
GCAGUGGUGGUUCAGUGGUAGAAUUCUCACCUUCCAUGUGGGAAACCUGGGUUUGUUUCUUGGCCAAUGCA